rnacentral:rRNA from 1 species
AGAGUUUGAUCCUGGCUCAGGACGAACGCUGGCGGCGUGCUUAACACAUGCAAGUCGAACGAUGAAGCCUAGCUUGCUGGGUGGAUUAGUGGCGAACGGGUGAGUAACACGUGAGUAACCUGCCCUUGACUCUGGGAUAAGCACUGGAAACGGUGUCUAAUACCGGAUAUUUCAACCGUCCGCAUGGUCUGGUUGUGGAAAGAAUUUUGGUCAAGGAUGGACUCGCGGCCUAUCAGGUAGUUGGUGAGGUAAUGGCUCACCAAGCCUACGACGGGUAGCCGGCCUGAGAGGGUGACCGGCCACACUGGGACUGAGACACGGCCCAGACUCCUACGGGAGGCAGCAGUGGGGAAUAUUGCACAAUGGGCGAAAGCCUGAUGCAGCAACGCCGCGUGAGGGACGACGGCCUUCGGGUUGUAAACCUCUUUUAGUAGGGAAGAAGCGAAAGUGACGGUACCUGCAG